UGCAUGGAUCACACAGGCAGCAUGAAGCACUUUAUAAUACUACACCUGGUUUAGAAAGUGUAUCCUGGAUGGUGAAAAGCAGGAACACAACAGUGACCAGGAGAUUGGAUUUCGUUUGUAUCUGUAGAGCCAAGUAGAUCAGAGGUUUUAAAAGCAGAGCGAUAACCCACAACCAUCAGACUUCCGGUAGCGGACUUCCGGGGGGCUGGGUCUACCCAAUGGCCCGAUGUGAACGCAGUCCUAAUUAAAUAAGAAAUGGUUGUAGUAUUUUUCUUCUUCAGCAUUGGCCCCUACUUCCCUGGGGACUCAUCCCUGGAUCAUUAGACACAGCGUGAAUUCAUUGCUCAGAUCUGCUUCAGCGUGACUUGUCACCUUAGAUGUCUCUUUUCAAGUCACUUCAUUUCCUACUCAGACAAAUGUCCUUCACAUCUUAGAUACCAACACAAGUCUAUUCUCGUCAGGAAAAAAAAAAAAACAACUCUUCAAGACCUUAGUAAAACAUGUAUGUAUUUUAUGUGGGAAAAAACCCUGAGAGCAGCAUGAAAGUUAAGUAUGACAACUUUGUUAUUCAAAAUGGUGACGUUAGGCCAUUGACAUCACACCUAGAACACUUUUCAUGACACUUACCUCUAUGGUUAGGAGAACACAAUGCCAGUGAAAGAACUGGGAGGAUACCACUCCAUCUGAGCUGGGCGAAGAGCAGGACCGAUCACAGAAUUUCACUGUCCCUGGAGAUUGAGCUUAUGCAUCAUAUGAGCCAU